GGCUCCGUAGCUCAGGCGGAUAGAGCGACGGUUUCCUAAACCGCAGGUCGGGGGUUCGAGUCCCUCCGGGGCCACCA
rnacentral:tRNA from 1 species